rnacentral:rRNA from 1 species
UACGAAGGGGGCUAGCGUUGCUCGGAAUCACUGGGCGUAAAGCGCACGUAGGCGGCUCGUUAAGUCAGGGGUGAAAUCCUGGAGCUCAACUCCAGAACUGCCUUUGAUACUGGCGAGCUUGAGUUCGGGAGAGGUGAGUGGAACUGCGAGUGUAGAGGUGAAAUUCGUAGAUAUUCGCAAGAACACCAGUGGCGAAGGCGGCUCACUGGCCCGAUACUGACGCUGAGGUGCGAAAGCGUGGGGAGCAAACAGG